AGAGUUUGAUCAUGGCUCAGGACGAACGCUGGCGGCGUGCCUAACACAUGCAAGUCGAACGAGGUCCAUCCUUCGGGAGAAGACCUAGUGGCGAACGGGUGAGUAACACGUGAAGAACCUGCCCCGAAGACCGGGAUAACCCUCCGAAAGGAGAGCUAAUACCGGAUACCCCCACCGAACCGCAUGGUUUGGUGAGGAAAUGGAUUCCGCUUCGGGAGGGCUUCGCGGCCUAUCAGCUAGUUGGUGGGGUAACGGCCCACCAAGGGCAUCGACGGGUAGCUGGUCUGAGAGGACGAUCAGCCACACUGGGACUGAGACACGGCCCAGACUCCUACGGGAGGCAGCAGUGGGGAAUCUUGCGCAAUGGGCGAAAGCCUGACGCAGCAACGCCGCGUGGGGAUGAAGGCUCUCGGGUUGUAAACCCCUUUCAGCAGGGACGAAUCAAGACGGUACCUGCAGAAGAAGCCCCGGCUAACUACGUG
rnacentral:rRNA from 1 species